GACGUAGGACGCAAGCGUUAUCCGGAGUUACUGGGCGUAAAGCGCGGGCAGGCGGCUCGAAACGUCUGAUGUGAAAUCUCCUCGCUCAACGGGGAGAGGCCAUUGGAAACGGUCGAGCUGGAGGGCAGUAGAGGUAGGCGGAAUUCCGGGUGGAGUGGUGAAAUGCGUAGAGAUCCGGAGGAACACCAGAGGCGAAGGCGGCCUACUGGGCUGCACCUGACGCUGAGCCGCGAAAGCCAGGGGAGCGAACGGG
rnacentral:rRNA from 1 species